CACAACCUCAUGUAUAAAUAUAUAUAGGUUUUCUUAUGUGCGGGUUGUGAUAAGAUGAACUUGAAAGAUGUUUUUUGCACUUCACGCGUUUGAUACAAUAUAUUUAUUGUGCCUUGAAAUUUAGGAAUUGAGUUAAAGUUUCUUUCUCAGUAAGAUAAAUAGUUCGUUGUGGUUUGUGUCUGAACUAUCUGCAAAUUAAAUAUUUAAGUUAAAACACAAGAACGAACGCCUUUUUUAAAGAGGGUUCAGUCAUCAUCACUCCAUUUCAAGUAGAUCAGACCCAAACCAUUGCAACUUAUAUUGAUUAUUGGCCAUUAUUUCCCAUUUAUUAUAUAGUAGAGAGUGAGAUACUGAAAAAUACACAAUGAGAUAUUUUCCAUAUCUUCACUAGUGAAGAUAUCGAUCACGUGACUUUUUGUAUUUAUACAAUUUUUUGCUUGUGACUAUAUAAUAAACAGAACAUUACACGUUGCCUUGAAGAUAUGACUUUUAUCUUCUCGUGUUAAAAACAAUAUUUUACUCACUCACUGCGCUCGUUCGUAAAAUAUUGUUUUCACAACUCGAAGAUAAAAGUCAUAUCUUCGUGCCGCCGUGUAAUAUCCUCUACAGUAUAUAUGCCCAACCUCGGCUGUCAAAUAAUGCAAUAUUUGAAAAUUGACGUUUCGUGUCAAAAAAACUACACCACUAAAACAUACUAAGCAAAUUUACUUAUACAUUUGAGCAAUUAUUUUAUGGCAUAAUUUUACUCAAAUUUUUUAGUGAACAUUUUUUGUAGUGUACAGUAUACAUUUCAAUACUGACCACUUUUUGGUAUACAUUUGAACAUUGACCGUUUACAGGUAAAUACUGUAAUCAACUGGUCGUUUUUCGUUAAUCUACAAUAAACUGCUGUGGUUUGUGUGAAGCAAGGCAGCUUAUUGAUUUCUAUAAUUAUAUCGCUCCGACCUGAGAUUUUGAUUUUAUAGUCAGUUAGAUAAGCUACCAAGUGUAGUUGCGUUCGAAGGAGACGUGGGAUACACGGGCGAGGGGGUGUUCUUCUCUUAGUGGUACUGUGGUUGGUGGUCAAAUUCUGAUGGUGGAGGAGGGGGUAAACCCUGGGGUACGGGCAUAGGCGGGAGUUGCGCUGGGUCGGGCGGUUGAGGCAUAACUACAAUCAAACAAAAACAAG
rnacentral:lncRNA from 1 species